rnacentral:rRNA from 1 species
AGCUGAUCAUUGGGUGUAAAGGGUGCGCAGGCGGUUUUGUAAGACAGAGGUGAAAUCCCCGGGCUCAACCUGGGAACUGCCUUUGUGACUGCAAGGCUGGAGUGCGGCAGAGGGGGAUGGAAUUCCGCGUGUAGCAGUGAAAUGCGUAGAUAUGCGGAGGAACACCGAUGGCGAAGGCAGUCCCCUGGGCCUGCACUGACGCUCAUGCACGAAACGCGUGGGGAGCAAACA